UACGAAGGGAGCUAGCGUUGUUCGGAAUCACUGGGCGUAAAGCGCACGUAGGCGGAUGUGUCAGUCAGGGGUGAAAUCCCGGAGCUCAACUUCGGAACUGCCUUUGAUACAGCACGUCUUGAGUCCGAUAGAGGUGGGUGGAAUUCCUAGUGUAGAGGUGAAAUUCGUAGAUAUUCGGAGGAACACCAGUGGCGAAGGCGGCUCACUGGUCCGGUACUGACGCUGAGGUGCGAAAGCGUGGGGAGCAAACAGG
rnacentral:rRNA from 1 species